GACGAACGCUGGCGGCGUGCUUAACACAUGCAAGUCGAACGGAAAGGCCCUGCUUUUGUGGGGUGCUCGAGUGGCGAACGGGUGAUUAACACGUGAGUAACCUGCCCUUGACUUUGGGAUAACUUCAGGAAACUUGGGCUAAUACCGGAUAGGAGCUCCUGCUGCAUGGUGGGGGUUGGAAAGUUUCGGCGGUUGGGGCUGGACUCGCGGCUUAUCAGCUUGUUGGUGGGGUAGUGGCUUACCAAGGCUUUGACGGGUAGCCGGCCUGAGAGGGUGACCGGCCACAUUGGGACUGAGAUACGGCCCAGACUCCUACGGGAGGCAGCAGUGGGGAAUAUUGCACAAUGGGCGGAAGCCUAAUGCAGCAACGCCGGGUGCGGGAUGACGGCCUUCGGGUUGUAAACCGCUUUCGCCUGUGACGAAGCGUGAGUGACGGUAAUGGGUAAAGAAGCACCGGCUAACUACGUG
rnacentral:rRNA from 1 species